rnacentral:rRNA from 1 species
AGCGAACGCUGGCGGCAGGCCUAACACAUGCAAGUCGAACGAAGUCUUCGGACUUAGUGGCGGACGGGUGAGUAACACGUGGGAACGUGCCUUUAGGUUCGGAAUAACUCAGGGAAACUUGUGCUAAUACCGUAUGUGCCCUUCGGGGGAAAGAUUUAUCGCCUUUGGAGCAGCCCGCGUUGGAUUAGGUAGUUGGUGAGGUAAAGGCUCACCAAGCCGACGAUCCAUAGCUGGUCUGAGAGGAUGACCAGCCACACUGGGACUGAGACACGGCCCAGACUCCUACGGGAGGCAGCAGUAGGGAAUCUUGCGCAAUGGGCGAAAGCCUGACGCAGCCAUGCCGCGUGUAUGAUGAAGGUCUUAGGAUUGUAAAAUACUUUCACCGGGGAAGAUAAUGACGGUACCCGGAGAAGAAGCCCCGGCUAACUUCGUGCCAGCCGCCGCGGUAACAC